AACGGCCGUACCAUGCUGAAUAUACCCGGUUCUCGUUAGAUCACCGAAGUCAAGCAUCAUUGGGCGCGGUCAGUACUUGGGUGGGUGACCACCUGGGAACACCGCGUGCCGUU
rnacentral:rRNA from 1 species